ACGCUCGACACCUACGAGAGGCAGCAGUGGGGAAUAUUGCACAAUGGGGGAAACCCUGAUGCAGCAACGCCGCGUGAGUGAAGAAGUAUUUCGGUAUGUAAAGCUCUAUCAGCAGGGAAGAUAAUGACGGUACCUGACUAAGAAGCUCCGGCUAAAUACGUGCCAGUAGCCGCGGUAAUCUGAGCGGGCUGGCAAGGC
rnacentral:rRNA from 1 species